UACGUAGGGUGCAAGCGUUGUCCGGAAUUAUUGGGCGUAAAGGGCUCGUAGGCGGUCUGUCGCGUCGGGAGUGAAAACUCAGGGCUUAACCCUGAGCCUGCUUCCGAUACGGGCAGACUAGAGGUAUGCAGGGGAGAACGGAAUUCCUGGUGUAGCGGUGAAAUGCGCAGAUAUCAGGAGGAACACCGGUGGCGAAGGCGGUUCUCUGGGCAUUACCUGACGCUGAGGCGCGAAAGCUAGGGGAGCGAACAGG
rnacentral:rRNA from 1 species